GGGCGCAUGGCCUAAUGGUAAGGCGUCAGAUUUCGGUUAUCAAAGAACGGCCUCUGAAGAUUGCAGGUUCGAUCCCUGCUGUGCUCG